UGAAAUAUGUACUGUCUCAUGUAUAUUAAAUGAAUUUAAAAUUUUAAUAAAAAUGUUAAAAUUUUUUUAUGGGACGAUAAGACCCUAUAGAAUUUUAUAUUGAAAAGAUUAAGUAGUUAACACUGAAUACUUUUCAAUAUUUGGUUGGGAGGACUAUUAAAUUUAAUAAACUUUAUAUUUAUGUAAACUUUAAUUAAAGAAAAAAUAAUGAUCUUCAAUUUGAAAUCACUAGAAUAAAUUACCUUAGGGAUAACAGCGUAAUAUUUUUUUAUAGACCUUAUAGAAAAAAAUGGUUGCGACCUCGAUGUUGAAUUAAGAUAAAUUUUAAAUGCAGGAGUUUAAUAAUUAAGUCUG
rnacentral:rRNA from 1 species